GAUGAACGCUGGCGGCGUGCCUAAUACAUGCAAGUAGAACGCUGAAGGAGGAGCUUGCUCUUCUGGAUGAGUUGCGAACGGGUGAGUAACGCGUAGGUAACCUGCCUGGUAGCGGGGGAUAACUAUUGGAAACGAUAGCUAAUACCGCAUGACAACAGUUAUUGCAUGAUAACUGUUUAAAAGGGGCAACUGCUCCACUACCAGAUGGACCUGCGUUGUAUUAGCUAGUUGGUGAGGUAACGGCUCACCAAGGCGACGAUACAUAGCCGACCUGAGAGGGUGAUCGGCCACACUGGGACUGAGACACGGCCCAGACUCCUACGGGAGGCAGCAGGAGGGAAUCUUCGGCAAUGGACGGAAGUCUGACCGAGCAACGCCGCGUGAGUGAAGAAGGUUGUCGGAUCGUAAAGCUCUGUUGUAAGAGAAGAACGAGUGUGAGAGUGGAAAGUUCACACUGUGACGGUAUCUUACCAGAAAGGGACGGCUAACUACGUG
rnacentral:rRNA from 1 species